ensembl:rRNA 5S_rRNA 5S ribosomal RNA
GCCUCUGGCCAUGCCACCCUGAACAGGCCGGAUCUUGUCUGAUCUUGGAAGCUCAGCAGGGUCGGGCCUGGUUAGUACUUGGAUGGGAGACCACCUAGGAAGACCAGGUACUGCAGGCG